rnacentral:rRNA from 1 species
AACGAACGCUGGCGGUAUGCCUAACACAUGCAAGUCGAACGAGACCUUCGGGUCUAGUGGCGCACGGGUGCGUAACGCGUGGGAACGUUCCCUUAGGCUCGGAAUACCUCCUCGAAAGGGGUGCUAAUAUCGGAUAACGUCUUCGGACCAAAGAUUUAUCGCCUUUGGAUGGGCACGCGUUGGAUUAGCCUGUUGGUAGGGUAAAAGCCUACCACGGCGACGAUCCAUAGCUGGUUUGAGAGGCUGAUCAGCCACACUGGGACUGAGACACGGCCCAGACUCCUACGGGAAGCAGCAGUGGGGAAUAUUGGACAAUGGGCGAAAGCCUGAUCCAGCAAUGCCGCGUGAGUGAUGAAGGCCUUAGGGUUGUAAAGCUCUUUUACCCGGGAUGAUAAUGACAGUACCGGGAGAAUAAGCGCCGGCUAACUCCGUG